AGCAGCCACUCAUUAAAAGAGUGCGUAAUAGCUCACUGGUCGAGUGACUCUGCGCCGAAAAUUUAACGGGGCUAAAUCGUACACCGAAGCUUGGGAUGUUAGAUGUUAGACAGUAGACAUUAGACAAUAGAUGAGAGAUAGAAGCGUAUGAAAUAUAUCAGGCGCAUAAGAUCCAAUAUCUAAAAUCUAAUAUCUAGCGUCUAACAUCUAACAUGGUAGGAGAGCGUUGAAUGCGGGGUGAAGUCAGAGCGAAAGCGCUGGUGGACUGCAUUGAAGUGAGAAUGCCGGAAUGAGUAGCGAGAUUUAUGUGAGAAUCAUAAAGGCCGAAAGACUAAGGUUUCAGAAGGAAGGUUCGUCCGCUUCUGGUUAGCCGGGAGCUAAGGUGAGGCCGAAAGGCGUAGCCGAUGCACAUACGGUGGAGAUUCCGUAGCCGUCGAAAUAUUUAAGCAAAGGGACACUUAUGAAGGGCAUGACCCGGGCGAUGGUAGCCCCGGGCGUAAGGGACCGAAAAUAAGUAGGGAAGCAUGUUUGGAAUAAGGCGAGAAAAGCUUUGUGGAUAUAUGAGACGUCCGUACCGCAAACCGACACAGGUAGUCAGGAAGAGGAUUCUAAGGCCAACGGGAGAAGGGUAGUUAAGGAACUCGGCAAAUUGACCCCGUAACUUCGGAAUAAGGGGCGGUGCGUAAGCACCCGCAGUGAAUAGGUCCAGGCGACUGUUUAUCAAAAACACAGCUCUCUGCUAAAUCGAAAGAUGACGUAUAGGGGGUGACACCUGCCCGGUGCUGGAAGGUUAAGAGGAGGAGUGCAAGCUCCGAAUUGAAGCCCCAGUAAACGGCGGCCGUAACUAUAACGGUCCUAAGGUAGCGAAAUUCCUUGUCGGGUAAGUUCCGACCCGCACGAAUGGUGUAACGAUCUGGACGCUGUCUCAACUGCCCACCCGGCGAAAUUGUAGUACCGGUGAAGAUGCCGGUUACCCGCGGCAAGACGGAAAGACCCCAUGGAGCUUUACUGUAACUUGAUAUUGGGUCUUGGUAUUCUAUGUACAGGAUAGGCGGGAGACUGAGAAACAUACACGCCAGUGUAUGCGGAGUCACCCUUGGGAUACCGCUCUUAGAGUACUGAGAUUCUAACCUGCGGCCGUGAAUCCGGUCGGGGGACAUUGUCAGGUGGGCAGUUUGACUGGGGCGGUCGCCUCCGAAAAGGUAACGGAGGCGCUCAAAGGUUAGCUCAGCACGGACGGAAACCGUGCCUCUGAGUGUAAACGCAAAAGCUAGCCUAACUGCGAGGGUGACGGCCCGAGCAGUAACGAAAGUUGGAGUUAGUGAUCCGGCGGUAUGUGAAUGGAAAUGCCGUCGCUCAACGGAUAAAAGCUACCCUGGGGAUAACAGGCUGAUCUCCCCCAAGAGUCCACAUCGACGGGGAGGUUUGGCACCUCGAUGUCGGCUCAUCACAUCCUGGGGCUGUAUUCGGUCCCAAGGGUUCGGCUGUUCGCCGAUUAAAGUGGUACGCGAGCUGGGUUCAGAACGUCGCGAGACAGUUCGGUCCCUAUCUGUCGUGGGCGCAGGAUAUUUGAGGAGCUCUGUCCUUAGUACGAGAGGACCGGGAUGGACGUACCUCUGGUGCACCAGUUGUCAUGCCAAUGGCACGGCUGGGCAGCUAUGUACGGAACGGAUAAACGCUGAAAGCAUCUAAGCGUGAAGCCGACUCCAAGAUUAGAUAUCCCAUCGUAUAACGAGUAAGACCCCUUGAAGACUACGAGGUUGAUAGGCUGCGUGUGUAAGUGCCGUGAGGCAUUCAGCUUGGCAGUACUAAUAGGUCGAGGGCUUGACCAC
rnacentral:rRNA from 1 species